AAUAGAUACCCAGGUAGUCCACGCCGUAAACGUUGGGCGCUAGAUGUGGGGACCUUUCCACGGUUUCCGUGUCGUAGCUAACGCAUUAAGCGCCCCGCCUGGGGAGUACGGCCGCAAGGCUAAAACUCAAAGGAAUUGACGGGGGCCCGCACAAGCGGCGGAGCAUGCGGAUUAAUUCGAUGCAACGCGAAGAACCUUACCAAGGCUUGACAUAUACGAGAACGCGCCAGAAAUGGUGAACUCUUUGGACACUCGUAUACAGGUGGUGCAUGGUUGUCGUCAGCUCGUGUCGUGAGAUGUUGGGUUAAGUCCCGCAACGAGCGCAACCCUCGUCGCAUGUUGCCAGCACGUUAUGGUGGGAACUCAUGUGAGACUGCCGGGGUCAACUCGGAGGAAGGUGGGGAUGACGUCAAAUCAUCAUGCCCCUUAUGUCUUGGGCUUCACGCAUGCUACAAUGGCCGGUACAAAGGGCUGCGAUGUCGUAAGGCGGAGCGAAUCCCAAAAAGCCGGUCUCAGUUCGGAUUGAGGU
rnacentral:rRNA from 1 species